CAGGGGCGUCCCCCGGCACAGCGAGGUGAAGCACAGGCUUUGGGCCCCCAAAUUUUUCUGGAUCCCCAUUUGAAAUUUUUUUUAUUAUAUAUAUUUUUAAGUUUUAUGGUACAAAAAAAGAUUGCCAAUGAAUAGGGGUGGGCGUUCGGGUACCCGUUCGGGUUCGGGUCGGGUAUUUCGGAUUUUCGGGUAUUUCGGUAUAGAGGUGUAGGACCCGUUCGGGUAUUUCUAUACUUCGGGUCGGGUUCGGGUAUUUUUAGUUCGGUUUCGGUUAUUUCCUAUCGGGUUCGGAUAUUUAGAUUUUGAAAAAAAAUUAAAUUUUUCAUUUCUUAAAUUUCUUGUAUUUAAGAAUAUAAAUUUUACUUAACUUUUUAUUUUAUUUUUAAUAGAUUAAAUGGUUAAUAGAUUUGGACAUAAUAUUUUAAAACUAAAAAUGCAUUAAUUUAGUUAUUGUUUUAAAAUUUUGGAUGUAACUUUUUGUUAAUUUUUGAAAUAAAAAAACUUGACAUGCUUUUUAAGUGAGUACCAAAUCAUUUUUUCCGUAAUUGCAUGUAUAUCAUAUGAACUUAAAGUAUGUGUAGUAUUAAUAUAAAUAUUUUAUAUAAAAUAAGAGAUGUAAACUAGAAAUAUAAGGUUAAUUAUACAUAUGUUCGGUUAUCUUCGGAUAUCCAUUCGGGUUCGGAUAUUAUCCAUUCGGGUUCGGGUAUCCAAUCUCUCCUAAUUCAAUACCCGUUCGGAUAUUUUGCUAAUUCGGUUCGGAUUUCGGUUCGGGUUUUUCGGAUCGGGUUCGGGUGCCACUUCGGAUAUCGGGUAAAGUGCCCACCCCUACCAAUGAAGUUAUAAAGUUAUCCUAACAAAAUAUCAUCAUUUCAAUGGGAUACAAUAGCAAAAAAAAAUAGUUUGACUGAAUUUCUUCUCAUUUUUAAAGUUUUUAUGUUUAUGUAUGGGCCCCCCAAUUUUUUUUUUGCUUGUGGCCCCAGUUAGUACAGGACCGCCCCUGC
rnacentral:lncRNA from 1 species